CUUGGCCCUUGCAGCGCUCUUUAAUACCUGCGUUCUGUAGUGCUAGUUCUCUGCAAGGUUUGCUUAGCGUUGUUUCAUUUCGGUUUCUUUUCUCGCUAUGUUCUUCUGUCGGAAUUACGGUUCGUUUUGGUUCUAUGUACUCUCUAAAAUUUUACCGUUUUUCAUUUGUCCACGAAUCUUCGUGCAUUUGCUACUAAUGAGUUUCUUGAUAUCUGACUGGCCUCCGCCCACGGGCUCUGGAGAGCAUAAAUACCCAGGCUGAGGGUAGUGCAGAAGACUCUCCCUCCUUGAUCAGCGCCAACGUUUGUUUCCUCCUGGUCUGAGGCUUAAGCGAUGGAGCAACAUUUUCUUGGCUGUGUGAAGCGGCCUUGGGAUUCCGCGGAGGUGGCGCCAGAGCCCGGGUCUCCGCCUAUUGUGAGUUCAGAAGAUCGUGGGCCGUGGCCUCUCCCUUUGUAUCCUACUAGGAGAGUACUCAUUGGACAGCUGUGACUUGGGACUGCUUUCCAGUCCUUGCUGGCGGCUACCCGGAGUCUUCUGGCAAACGGCUCUUUCCUGGAGUCCAGCGCACCUUGGAACCAAGUACAGCGAAGUCCCUGGGUUCAGUUGGCCGGGGCACAGAAGCAGCAAGAGGCACCCGUGGGAGGGGGCAGGGAGGAGGAACCCGACAGACUCACGCUCCAGCAGCUUUCCUGGGGCAGUCCUCCCCAUUCCUGGAACAGACAGCAGGACACCGACGUCUCUGACAGCGGGUGCCUUUCGGAACGCCGCCAUCCUCCUGCCCUCCGUCGGUGGCGCCACCCCCCGGGUUUCUCAGACUGCCUGGAGCGGAUUCUUCGCGUUGGUUUUGCCGCGUUCUCUGUACUCUGGGCGUGCUGCCUACGAAUCUGUGGAGCUAAGCAGCCUUAGAUAUCAGCAGAAGCCUCUUUGGAUUCUCCUCCCUGAAAAGAUUCUCAGUUACCAAGCGUCUCCACCUAGAAAAUAAAAACACAUUAAGAUGUG